AUACCAUGCUUAGAGAUGGAUCCGUCAAGUGCUUCAAUGAUGCCUGUAACACUGAGGGACAGAGGACUGCACACAAGGAAAGGGUGACCAUGCAGUUGCAGCUAAUAUACUUGUAGAAGAGGUGGCUAGCCACUGUAGGUUAACUAGGCUUAGACUAUAUUUCAAUGUGUUUUGUUUUUCGAUUCAUUUUAGUACUAGUGGUUUCCAAGUUGAAUGCAUCUUAGAAGAUUAGGCUUAAAAUGAGAGGUAAAAUCCCUGUCAGGUCAAGUCAGGAGACUUGCUACUGGUAACCUGUAGUCCAGUACAACCUGUUUCAGGGUCGAGUCGUCGGCGACUAAACUGACGCCCCCACCAGAUUCCUUUGGGAGGCUGGUGAGGAGGGUGGCCGGACACCCUGGUGGAACUAAAAAAAAGAUCCAUCUUAAAAGGUUUCGACUCAGGAGAGUCAACGACGGCCAUCCAGCAACUCCAAGCUUUAUUAUAAGUGCAAUCAAAUGACCUUCUCCUUAUUUUUUCUUGAAGGAUUCUGCUGAAGCCCAGGUGCUGGGAGCAGAGAUGCCAUGGGGAAAGUCCCACAGAUGACUGUCGACCCCUCUUGCUGAGCAUCCCGUAUUUGUUUCUUGAGCGUGGAAGCAACUUUUGACAGCGGGAGUUCCUUUCCCAUGCAGCGUUGAUCUGUUCACCUUGACAAUGAAGGUAAAAGACAAAAUGAUAAGAUCCUGAGUUGAAUUGGAAAAUAAUGAAGCCCAGCUAGCCUGGGUCGAGAAGUUUUUUCUUUUUCCUGGUAGUCUACAGGACCUGAAGCUGGACUUCUUGAAGAUGAAGAGACCGCUGAUGAGAUGUUGAGAGAGGACAGUGUCCCUGACAUUCCCAGGAAGCAUUGUGUAAGGUCAAAUAACAGCUUUCACAGUAAGUAAACACAAUUUUAUUCAAUAUAAAAAGAUAUUAAAGAUGUUGAGGACACAAAGGGUGCAAAACUAGGAAAGGGGUGCAUGGGCGAAGGCAGAGCAGCCGCUGCAGUCAGCGAACGGAGCAAUGCAAAGCAGCUUGCAGUGUGCUUGAAUGUGAAUCAGUGUGAGGUUCUGUGUGUUUCAGAGAGGAAAUGAUGAGAGACAUAAAACUAAGAAGUUUUUUUGCACGAAGUCGAUUAAAACCACAAAUAAAUUAAAUCUUGGAAACAAAUGUUAACCAGUUAACCGAGAAGUAUUCUAAAAAUGAAAUUCUAAAAAUGACAAUCUCAAUACAUAGUCCGCGACACAUUCAUCCAUCGUGAAUUGAUUAAAUAGUUGAAGGAAGUAAGUGGUGGUUUGAUGAAGAAUUGUAUUUAGUCAAGAAAUAUGAUAGCUGGUUUGGUAGCACUAGGUUGGUCAGUAGAGACAAGUAAAUAAAGUAUUCAGUCAAGUUAAGGAUAUUAACUAAGUUGGUCAUUUGGUUGAGUCUUCGGUAAUAAGUGAGUAGUCUAUGUGAACUAGUAGAAGUAACAACAUAAACUAGUUCAAGUGAGAAUAACUAUGUAAGUAACUACAAAAAGUCAUUAGAGUAUAGCAAGGUAGGUAAAAUAACGUAACUAUAAGUAAGCAUGGAGGUAUAUACACUAAGCAAACCGGUCGGCUGUCAGUUGGUCAUGUGGUUGGUCAGCCACUAAUCAUAAGUUCGGGUAUGCCACAGUGAAAUAAAGUAAGUGACAGCAAUAGUUGAAUUGUAUUUGGUAAAUAAGGAUGUCUUGGGUUGAUCGCUCGGUCAGUAUGUAAAAGUAUGGGUAUGUAACCAAGUCAAAUAAAGUGAAAGUAAUCAUGUAGGUAGUGGUAAUUUGUAACAGUAAAAAAGGUAAGCAGUAGGGAGUGUAAGUUGGUGUGUAUGUAAUUAAGUAAAUAAGUUGGUUCAGGUCAUUGGUUGGUCUGUUGGUUGACCAGUCAUUGGGAUAUUCAGAAAAGAAGUAAACUAGUUAAGAUAUAGCCCAGGGUGUUAUUUGUUUAUUUGACUCUUCAGUUGAUAAUUUGAAAAUAAUAAAUCUGCCAACUUUUUCUUCAUCAGAAAUAAAAAUUGCGUUUUUGAGUAAUUUGCAAUUAGAAAUAUAAGGAAUAGGAAACCACUCAAAUAUUAAAAAUCAAGUCAGUAAAAUGAAAUGAAUCUAACAGUUGACCUAAUAAAAAGAAAUAAUGUUUAACAUUAAAGAGAAUUUUGAGUGUGGAUUAGUGUGAAUACAAACUGGUAAGCAAGUGAUGAAAAUGUUGAAACUCUGGAAGUGAGGCAGUCAACUUCGAAAGUGAAAAACAUGGUACUUAAUAUGAGCAAGCAGAGCAGCUUAGUGAGCGCAUGACAAAGAGAUACCAGGGAUUGCUUCGGGAAAGAAGAAAGAGGGUAUUGUUAUGAAAAAGAUUGUUUUGUCUGGUGUGCACACACUGUCCAAUAUUUGUAUUUAAGAGACAGCAGUACCUUGAGGCUGCAUUGAGGUGAUGAGAACAAAGACAUUGAAGUAAAUUGAUGUAUUAAUCAAGCCCAGCCAGUAUGGGUGGAGAAGUUUUAUUCUUGCAGAGUUAGGGACAGGUUCUGCAGUGGGACUUCACUAGACCGAAUUCCACUGUUGAUAAUGAAGGGAGAGACUCCUCAGCAGGCUUUCAGGAUCCGGAAGCAGGGAGGAGGAAUAACAGAUGACCGAUGACCCUGCUUGCUGAGCGACCCAUUUCUUUUUCUUAAGCAAAGUGCAUCCAUCAGUCCAGGAGGUACUGCAGAGAUGAACAUCAGAUGAGAUGCCAGGUCUCUUAUCAACAUCAAGACG
rnacentral:lncRNA from 1 species